rnacentral:rRNA from 1 species
UACGGGGGGGGCAAGCGUUGUUCGGAAUUACUGGGCGUAAAGGGCUCGUAGGUGGCCAACUAAGUCAGACGUGAAAUCCCUCGGCUUAACCGGGGAACUGCGUCUGAUACUGGAUGGCUUGAGUUCGGGAGAGGGAUGCGGAAUUCCAGGUGUAGCGGUGAAAUGCGUAGAUAUCUGGAGGAACACCGGUGGCGAAGGCGGCAUCCUGGACCGAGAUUGACGCUGAUGCGCGAAAGCCAGGGGAGCAAACGGG